rnacentral:rRNA from 1 species
ACGUGGGAUGCGAGCGUUAUCCGGAUUUAUUGGGCGUAAAGAGUUCGUAGGUGUCUGGGUACAUCUUGUUUCAAAGCCCGGGGCUUAACCCCGGAAAGGGAUGAGAUAUGGCCUGAAUCGAGUUUGCUAGGGGGUACCGGAACUUGUUGUGUAGCAGUGAAAUGCGUUGAUAUAACAAGGAACACCGGUGGCGAAGGCGGCCCCCUGGACCGGUACUGACGCUGAGGCGCGAAAGCGUGGGGAGCAAACG